rnacentral:rRNA from 1 species
GAUGAACGCUGGCGGCGUGCCUAAUACAUGCAAGUCGAGCGAACGGACGAGAAGCUUGCUUUUCUGAUGUUAGCGGCGGACGGGUGAGUAACACGUGGAUAACCUACCUAUAAGACUGGGAUAACUUCGGGAAACCGGAGCUAAUACCGGAUAAUAUUUUGAACCGCAUGGUUCAAAAGUGAAAGACGGUCUUGCUGUCACUUAUAGAUGGAUCCGCGCUGCAUUAGCUAGUUGGUAAGGUAACGGCUUACCAAGGCAACGAUGCGUAGCCGACCUGAGAGGGUGAUCGGCCACACUGGAACUGAGACACGGUCCAGACUCCUACGGGAGGCAGCAGUAGGGAAUCUUGCGCAAUGGGCGAAAGCCUGACGGAGCAACGCCGCGUGAGUGAUGAAGGUCUUCGGAUCGUAAAACUCUGUUAUUAGGGAAGAACAUAUGUGUAAGUAACUGUGCACAUCUUGACGGUACCUAAUCAGAAAGCCACGGCUAACUACGUG